AUACUUACCUGGCAGGGGAUAUACCAUGAUCAUGAAGGCGGUUUUCCCAGGGUGAGACUUAUCCAUUGCAGUCAGGAUGUGCUGACCCCUGAGAUGUCCCCCAAUGCAGGAAACUCAACCGCCUAAUUUGUGGCAGUAGGAGGAGUGUGUUUGAGCACAUGCCCUUA
ensembl:snRNA U1 U1 spliceosomal RNA